CCUACGGGAGGCAGCAGUGGGGAAUAUUGGGCAAUGGGCGCAAGCCUGACCCAGCAACGCCGCGUGAAGGAAGAAGGCUUUCGGGUUGUAAACUUCUUUUAUGGGGGAAGAGCAGAAGACGGUACCCCUUGAAUAAGCCACGGCUAACUACGUGCCAGCAGCCGCGGUAAUACGUAGGUGGCAAGCGUUGUCCGGAUUUACUGGGUGUAAAGGGCGUGCAGCCGGGGAGACAAGUCAGAUGUGAAAUCCACGGGCUCAACCCGUGAACUGCAUUUGAAACUGUUUCCCUUGAGUGUCGGAGAGGUAAUCGGAAUUCCUUGUGUAGCGGUGAAAUGCGUAGAUAUAAGGAAGAACACCAGUGGCGAAGGCGGAUUACUGGACGAUAACUGACGGUGAGGCGCGAAAGCGUGGGGAGCAAACAGGAUUAGAUACCCCAGUAGUC
rnacentral:rRNA from 1 species